UAUAUAUUAGUGUAUUAUUGCACAAAAAUUUUUGAAAUUUUUAGAAAUAAAUUAAUUUUAUUAUAUAUAU
rnacentral:tRNA from 1 species